rnacentral:piRNA from 1 species
UUCCCUCCUUGUGUUCCUGCCUGGUGUGU